UCCAACUGUGGGCAAUGAUGGCUCUCCUCUUUAACACACUUUGACUGAUCCUGCCCAUCUUUUCACCUGCAAACUCCCAGAGAAGCAACAGCCAGCCUUCCCCACACCUGCUCUCUCACUCUAUUUUUUGUCUCAUUGACAGCAGCUGUACAGCAAGCAGAUGUCUCUCCUGGACUGUCCACGGUGACACUAGAUUUUUUUAAUCUUGAGAGGCUACAAUUAAUUCAGGACAUACUUAGUUGAUGUACGUGAAUAGGGCAAAUGCCCCACCUCUAUCCCUCAAAGGUUUUGUACACUAAUGAGGACACAGAGUUCUCUGAUUGGUAGAAAAUCAUAAACUGGUCACCUUGGGGCUAAUGAACUGCCAUCGAAUUAACAAUCAGGCCUCCAUUUUGUUCUCUAAUUAAACAGAUUAUGAGUUCCAGCAUCUAAAAUAGGAAUGGCACAAAAGAUGUAUUGAUUGUCCAAAUAUAAGGGGCUUGGGGCAGCAUCUUUUUCACCAAGCAAGUAAAUAAGUCCUGUGUCCCUACUUAGCUGGUGUCAAUAUUAGUUUUUGUACUAUAAAAUGAAGCACUGAGGGGAAAGAAGAGACAGACAACAGGACAAAAGGAAUGGAUGAUCUUUGCUGCAUUGCAUUCCUUGACCGUUUCAGCCAAGCCUUCCAACAUACAAUUUGGGGAACAUGAGUUAGUAAGAGAACUUUGUACCCACUGCUCUCCAGAGAUGGAGUGAGCAGGAUUGCAUCCCAUGCUGGGAUGCAACCCAGCUUGACUAAUAGUCAUCAGGAAGGGUGCGUGUGAAAAUGCCUUGAUGCUGCUUCAUCAGUGCAAACAAUUUCCCUUGCCAAUAUAGGAAUUAAGAGAAGAGACUAAUGAAAAAAAAAGUGAGUACAAAUAAGGUGUGUGAUUUGGCAGUACAUGUGAGGAACAGGAGAGACUGGACAUGUGCAAUGUGGUGAUAACAAGUUUGGCAUCCCCCAACACCUAAAGAGAGUUGUUAUCAGUUCUAAACACUGGAUGUAUAUGUGAUGUCUGCUUUUGAAAGAGUCCUGCCAUUCGAAACAGAACUUGGAAAGUUGACAUCGGGGAUGAUGCAAGCAGAUGCUUUGAAGCUCCCAUUAGUGUAAGAAGGCUUUGCUAGACUUCUCAGAAGUUAGUGUAGCAUUAUGAUUAUUUUGUUUUUAUUAUACAGUCUUUUUCAUCUGCAAAUUGUUUUAAAUGUUUACUUUCACAACACCCCUGUGAAAAUAUCUGACAUGGAAGAAUUAGUGCACAGCAAAUCUAAUCCACUUUGUUCCUUUUCCUCCUCCAUGGAGUGCCAUCCUAUGCAUGUCUACUCAGAAGUGAAUCCUAUUUUCAAUCAGGCAGACUCCCAGUGCUUAUAGUGGAAGGAAACUGACAUAUUCCAUGAUUGCCCAGGGAGUGUAUACAUUUGGGGCAAAAACCAAAAAAAGCUGAGUUUGUGCCUUUCUAUCUUCUCUCUGUGUGUGGAGGCCUUCUGAAUGUCAAAGACCAUCAUACAAGUAACACAGGAACUUAAGGCUCAUCCAGCAGUCUUCAGUCGAUGUAUCAUUCUGCAUUUCUUUUCACCUCUUUGAAUUUCAUUAUUUAUAUUUUGUCUUAUGACAUAAUUUGUUUUGGCUUGAAGGGAAAAAAUAGGGAAAUUCUCUAGUCUGAAUUAGGGUGUUUCCCCUCCCCCUCCUCUCCACAUUAUCCAGCAUUUCCUUGCUUAAGCCUUAGUCCAGACUUUUAGUAGUAUGAAGAAGAUGAGGAUCACAUAAGUCUUGGCUUGGAACUAAUUUGUAUGCCACAUAUGUGAGAAAGAAGGUGCAGCAACUAUUGCUCAAAGUGUAAAAAAAGUGCUCUGGGAAUUAGUGUCAUCUUUUGAAACUGACAAAUUGCUCACUCUACGGAAAAUUUAGACACUGGUGGUUUACUUCACACAAGAUGUGGAGAAAUGACAGGGAAAGCAGAGAGACUUUUUAGGACAAAAUAUGAAUUCUGAUUUGAUUGCCGUGUGGCUGCUAUAGAACAUCUCUCAGGUGCCAUUUUUAGCUAGAGUCUGGCAUCAGGCUAACAAUAAUAUUUCUUGCUAUAUGCAGUAUUCCAUUUUACAUUGCUAGAUGUUUGUUCCAUUACCUUAAUAAUAGCUCAUCUCCUCCAAGCCCUCCCUCUACUAAAAUACUCAAUUUAGUCAUGACAUCUGGGACCUGUGAGAGAAUGGCAGGUACAGCAAAUGAAAUGUUCUUGCCACAUAAGCAGUACAAUGCAUUCCACAAAGUCACAUUCGUGCUUUUCCACUGUCUUCAGUUAUUGUUUCUGCAUUUAUUCCUAAAACUUCUAUAAGCCUUUCCACUUAGUAUAGUGCCCAAGGGAGUUACUAACAAAAUUAAAAAGAGGACGAUUUAUUUACAUAGUAUGAUCAGCAUCCAUGGCACUUUAGAGAGUAAUAUAAAGAAAAUUGGCAGGUCACUACCUUAUCAUUACAUCUACAUUUCAAGCAAGCUAGGUGUGGAAGAAGGUUGUGGAAGAAAGAGUGAGGAAUGGGUAUGAAUAUGAGCAACAGAUGGGUUAAUUUUAGUUAGGAAGGAGUGAGGUAUUAGGGCAUUAAGUCAAAGGCUUCAGGAAGAGGUGGGUCUGAUGAGGCAUUUGAAGGAAUAGAAGAGAUAUCUGGUAUGUCCUAGGCAUAAGAGAGUGACCCAAUAUGUAACAUUACAGUGAGAGAUGCAACAUUACCAGGUAAAAUGUCUCUAUUUCAUAUAAUUUGCAAACAUUUCUUUUCUUAUUUUUCUUGUAUGUGAAACUGUGGUCCAAGGCGGUGGUUGGACUGUUAGAUGAUGAGGGAGUGAAAAGGAUUAUUACCGGUAAGGAGGAUAUGAAGACUGCAGAGAAGCUAAAUGGGUUCUUUGCAUCUGUCUUCAUGGCAGUAUACUGAGCGUAUACCUUGUCUGAACCGAGCUUCUCCGGGGAAGAAUGGAGUCAGAGAGAGGUGACAAGAGAUGGUGUUCUAAACUGUAUGGAAAAAUUAACAAGUUGUUCUAGUAAGAACUAAUCAGCCUACUUUCCUUUCACUGUCUCUACAUCUGGACCAAAUUUGGUACAAAUCGAGGUUCACAAGUUAGAUCCUUGGUGCCUCAAUGUUCAUGUGUCUGCCAACUUGGAUUGGGGUGGAUGCCAUAAUUACAAACUGCGCCAUUGAGUUGUCCCUGUGUGUCACUCGCUACAGCUGUUCCAAAUUUGGUACAAAUCAGUUAAGUGGUUCAGAAGUUAGCCCACUUGCACCUCAAAAGUAUAUGUGUCUGCCGUCUUGGAUCGCAGUGGAUGACACGAUGACCUCAUUACAAACUAUGCCAUUGAGGUGUUCCUAUGUGCCCCUACAACUGUAUUCGAUUUGGUUUAUAUUGGUCCAGACGUUGCCAAGUUGAUAGAGGGGGACACACAGACGGACACACACAGAGAGAAUGCCCAGUGAUCUCAUAAGCCUACUGGAAAGUAGGCUAACAAUUAGCAGAUUACCAGGGCCAGAUGGCAUCCACCCAAGAGUCCUUAAAAAUACUCAAAUGUGAAAUUGCUGACCACCAUGAGAAAAAAAAAAUAAUUUAUCCCUACAAUCAGACUCUGUACCAGAGGACUGGAAAGUAGCCAGUGUAACACCAAUUUUCAAAAAGGGAUCCAGGGGCAAUCCAGGAAAUUACAGGCUGUUAGUUUAACAUCUGUGCCAUGCAAAUUGAUGGAAAGCAUUUUCAAGGAUAAAAUUGUUAAGCAUAUAGAAGAAUAUGUCCUGCUGAAGGAAAACCAGCAUUGAUUUCUUGAAAGGUAAUUCUUGCUUCACGAACCUUUUGGAGUUCUUUGAGAGUAUCGACAGGCAAGUGGAUGAAGGUGAUCCAGUUGACAUAGUAGACUUGGAAUUUUAAAAAGCUUUCAACACUAUUCAUCAAAGACUUUUGAGAAAAUUUAGCAGUCAUGGGAUAAGGGGACAAGUUCAUGUGUGAAUUGGUAACUGGUUGAAGGACAGGAAAAAGAGGGUAGGUAUAAAUGGACCUCUAAAUGGAAGUAAGAAGUGGGGUCCCCCAAGGAUCAGUACUGGGACCAGUGCUUUUUAACUUACGCAUAAAUGAUCUACACAUCUGGAUAAGCAGUGAGGUUGCCAAAUUGGCAACCUCACUGCUAUUCAGAAUAGUGAAAUCCAAACUAUUUAGGGUAGUGAAAUCCACAACAGAUUGUUAGGAGCAACAAAAGGAUCUCUCCAAACUGGUGGAGCGGGCAACAAAAUGACAAAUGCAGUUCAAUGUAGCAAGUGCAAAGUGAUGCAAGUGUAAAGUGACACAUAUAUGCAGUUUUUCCCCACAUAUAUGCUGAUGGGGUCUGAGCUGUCGGUGACUGACCGGAGAGGGAUCCUGGGGUUGUAGUGGACAGUUCAUUGAAAGUGUCAACUCAGUGUGCGACAGCUGUGAAAAAGGCCAAUCACAUGCUUCGAAUCAUUAGGAAGGGGGUUGAAAAUAAAACUGCUAAUAUUAAAAGGUAUACAAAACUAUGGUGUGGACACAUAUGGAGGUUCUCCACAUGAGCAGUGUGGAGAGCCGAGGAGAGUUUGGCGGGGAGAGCGGGCUUGAUCGGCCACCCACACGAUAACCAAAAUGACCAAAUCAUCAACUCGGGCACUCAUGUAAAGAAGAAGACGUGUCAUGGCAGCCUUGAUGGAAUGUUACUGGGUCUGACUGCGAAAGAAAGGAACAUAGAAAUGCUGCAGAGGCACCACACCUUUUCCUGAUUGAGGGUUAAGAGGGAGCUUUUGCAAAAGAUCUGGUGCCCAUAUGACAGAUGAACAUUUUCCAGGUCUCUUCCUCAUUUUUAAGUACCAUAUAUACACAUUUUAUAUGGAUGAAGGAAGCAUUAGGGCUCCAUAUACUUUCCCUUCUUUCACACUGUAUGGUAGCAAAACUAUUGUCAAAUAAGAGCUUUUGGAUGGUGUGCAAAAAAUAUUGGCAUUAUGGUAAUGCAGGAGAUUCAGGAAAUGAUAUGAUUACAGGGGUUCUGGUGGAUAAUUCGUGUUCUCCAUGUAUAAUCUGAAUUGCCACCUGAAUGAGUGGCUCUAUUUGUAGAAUAUUAAAUAAUUUAUAUAGGAAGCAGAGUAACAGAGAAUAGCAGUGAAACCCUAGAGAUGGGUGAAUAAUACAUUAAAACAUUUUUAUUCUAUU